rnacentral:rRNA from 1 species
UACGUAGGGGGGCUAGCGUUGUCCGGAUUUAUUGGGCGUAAAGAGCGUGUAGGCGGCCAUGUAGGUCCGGUGUGAAAACUCGAGGCUUAACCUCGAGAUGUCAUCGGAAACCAUUUGGCUAGAGUCCGGAAGAGGAGAGUGGAAUUCCCCGGUGUAGCGGUGAAAUGCGCAGAUAUCGGGAGGAACACCAAUGGCGAAGGCAGCUCGCUGGGGACGGUACUGGACGCUGGAGACGCGAAAGCGGUGGGGAGCAAACAGGAUU